CCCACUCCCUGAUGUUUUCCUUGGGAGCCAGAAAUGUGCGUGCGGCGUUUUUUGGGGCAGUGGAGCACGUGCCUGCCUGAGCCCCAGCAGUGUGUGGGCAGAGCUGACAGUCACUGAGUGAGUGGAGCAGAUGCUGAAGCACUGAGAGAAAAGCUGCAGAGCAGCAGAACUUGCCCAGAAGGAUAUUCUGUAAGUGCAGCAAGUCAACUGACAAGGGAAAAGGGAGCAGCAUCCCCUGGGCAGGAGCAUGAGCUGGUACCACACUGUGCUCUCGUGUCUGUAGCCCUGAGAUCCUUUAAGGGUGUUCCUAAAGUGGGACUGGACUGAACAUCCCCAGUGCCUGAACCAACUCAGCACAGAACAGCCCCACAGGAACCCAAAAAGUGGAUUUGGGAUUGCCCUGAGCAGCUGCUGCUUCCCAGUGCCUGCUGAGGAACACGGAGAAGUGCACUUUUAACACCCAGCAACAGAGAGUGAGAGCUGCUGCUGCUCAGAAGGCACAGAUUCCAUCUUAUCUGGACUGGUAACUCCUGCAUAAAUGAGUCAUCUGAGGAAUUAAAAAUCAGACUCACAAAACAAGAAGCAGUUUCCCCAAAUAAGUCUUUUCCACCAGGCGUCUUUGGUCAGAGAGCUUUGUAAACAUGACUCCUAGAGUGAAGCAGCACAGGGCUGAGUUUAAGGCUUCCAAAUCCACAAUAAAAUUAAAUAGUUAAUUGGGAAGAUGGAUGCAUUUCAGAGGAUGUAAGAGCCAAGAAUGUCUUCUGCCUUCACUGAAACUGGUAACACAUGUUUUUCCUUGUACCCAGCACAGAACCAAACAGAAGAAAAUACUCUUACAGAAUAAUUUGGUAUGAGAAGGAUGAGAUACUGAU